ACCUGCCCUGGACUUUGGGAUAACCCUCGGAAACGGGGGCUAAUACCGGAUACGACACUUCACCGCAUGGUGUGGGUGUGGAAAGUUUUUCGGUCUGGGAUGGACUCGCGGCCUAUCAGCUUGUUGGUGGGGUAAUGGCCUACCAAGGCGACGACGGGUAGCCGGCCUGAGAGGGCGACCGGCCACACUGGGACUGAGACACGGCCCAGACUCCUACGGGAGGCAGCAGUGGGGAAUAUUGCACAAUGGGCGGAAGCCUGAUGCAGCGACGCCGCGUGAGGGAUGACGGCCUUCGGGUUGUAAACCUCUUUCAGCAGGGACGAAGCGUAAGUGACGGUACCUGCAGAAGAAGCGCCGGCCAACUACGUGCCAGCAGCCGCGGUAAGACGUAGGGCGCGAGCGUUGUCCGGAUUUAUUGGGCGUAAAGAGCUCGUAGGCGGCUUGUCGCGUCGACUGUGAAAACCCGCGGCUCAACCGCGGGCCUGCAGCCGAUACGGGCAGGCUAGAGUUCGGUAGGGGAGACUGGAAUUCCU
rnacentral:rRNA from 1 species